rnacentral:rRNA from 1 species
GGUUGAAGCAUGACCGUAAGGACAUGUGGACAGUAUGGGAGUGAGAAUGUUGGCAUGAGUAGCGAGAUGUGGGUGAGAAUCCCACAGGCCGUAAACCCAAGGUUUCCAGGGGAAGGUUCGUCCGCCCUGGGUUAGUCGGGACCUAAGCUGAGGCCGAAAGGCGUAGGUGAUGGACAACAGGUUGAUAUUCCUGUACUACCGAUAACCGUUUGAGAGAAGGGAUGACACAGUAGGAUAAGCUAAGCACACUGUUGGUUAUGUGUGCCCAAGCAUUGAGGCAGUCAAAGUAGGCAAAUCCGCUUUGAUAAUGCUGGGAUGUGAUGGGGAGCGAAAUUUAGUAGCGAAGUAGCUGAUUUCACACUGUCAAGAAAAGUCUCUAUCGAGGUUAAAGGUACCCGUACCGCAAACCGACACAGGUGGGUGAGGAGAGUAUCCUAAGGCCAGCGAGAGAACUGUUGUUAAGGAACUCGGCAAAAUGACCCCGUAACUUAGGGAUAAGGGGUGCCACCAUCAGGUGGCCGCAGAGAAUAGGCCCAAGCGACUGUUUACCAAAAACAUAGGUUUCUGCUAAGUCGCAAGACGAUGUAUAGGAGCUGACGCCUGCCCGGUGCUGGAAGGUUAAGGGGAUCUGUUAGAGCAAUCGAAGCAGUGAACUUAAGCCCCAGUAAACGGCGGCCGUAACUAUAACGGUCCUAAG